rnacentral:rRNA from 12 species
UCCGUGCCAGCAGCCGCGGUAAUACGGAGGGUGCAAGCGUUGUCCGGAUUUAUUGGGUUUAAAGGGUACGUAGGUGGCCUUAUAAGUCAGUGGUGAAAUGCUGCAGCUUAACUGUAGCACUGCCAUUGAUACUGUAGGGCUUGAGUGUCGUUGAGGCAGGCGGAAUUUAUGGUGUAGCGGUGAAAUGCAUAGAUACCAUAAAGAACACCGAUAGCGAAGGCAGCUUGCUAAGCGACAACUGACACUAAUGUACGAAAGCGUGGGUAGCGAACAGGAUUAGAUACCCUGGUAGUCCACGCCGUAAACGAUCAUUACUCGAUAUCAGCGAUAUACAGUUGGUGUCUAAGCGAAAGUGAUAAGUAAUGCACCUGGGGAGUACGAUCGCAAGGUUGAAACUCAAAGGAAUUGACGGGGGCCUGCACAAGCGGUGGAGCAUGUGGUUUAAUUCGACGCAACGCGAAGAACCUUACCUGGCCUUGACAUGCAGAGAACUUUCCAGAGAUGGAUUGGUGCCUUCGGGAACUCUGACACAGGUGCUGCAUGGCCGUCGUCAGCUCGUGUCGUGAGAUGUUGGGUUAAGU